UGCCUGUGUGUGUGUGCAGUGAUCACUUCGUCAAAUACGCAUGCCUGGAUACAAGAGAGCCAAUCAGAGCAGAGCGGGGCAGGGGCUGCUGCACCAUAUGUUGAGCCAAGCUGGUUUCCUGAACAACCACACUGCACUAGACCGGAUGUCGCAUGUCAGAGAGAACUCUCUGUGCGCUAGGCCAGCUGUGCCCUUUCCUGCCCUCUUGGCUUCUCCCCUUGAUUUGUGUUAAAGGUGACCCAUAAUUCCCAUGAGUUUGGCCCUGUUUGUGUUAUUCCUCCAUGACUUGUCAGCUGUGAGAAUACACUUACCCACAGCAGAAUGACCUUAUGAGCCUCUACUGUUAUUCAGCCAAAUGUUAAGUCACUGGACACCAGCACACAAACAAACAACAGCAUGGCUGUCACAAUGAGGCUCUGUGA